rnacentral:rRNA from 1 species
ACGAACCGUGCGAACGUUGUUCGGAUUCACUGGGCUUAAAGGGCGCGUAGGCGGAAGGUCAAGUCCGAGGUGAAAUCUUUCGGCUCAACCGGAAAAGUGCCUUGGAUACGGAUCUUCUCGAGGGAGGUAGGGGCAUGUGGAACUUCCGGUGGAGCGGUGAAAUGCGUAGAUAUCGCUUGGAACGCCAACGGUGAAAACAGGUUGCUGGGGGUGUGCUGACGCUGAGACACGAAAGCCAGGGGAGCGAACGGGA